rnacentral:rRNA from 1 species
CACGGGGGGGGCGAGCAUUAUUCAAAAUAAUUAGGCGUAAAAAGUUUGUAGAUUUUUUUAUAAGUUAAUAUAUAAAAAAAUAAAGCUUAACUUUAUAAAAAUAUAUUAAAACUAUAAAAAUUGAGUAUUGUAUAGAGGAUAAUGGAAUUUUUAAUGUAAAGAUAAAAUUUUGUGAUAUUAAAAGGAACAACAAAAGCGAAGGCAAUUAUCUGGUUUAAUACUGACAUUGAGAAACGAAAGUAUAGGGAGCAAGAGGG